rnacentral:rRNA from 1 species
AACGAACGCUGGCGGCAGGCCUAACACAUGCAAGUCGAGCGGACCCUUCGGGGUUAGCGGCGGACGGGUGAGUAACGCGUGGGAAUAUGCCCUUCUCUACGGAAUAGUCCUGGGAAACUGGGGGUAAUACCGUAUACGCCCUUUGUGGGAAAGAUUUAUCGGGGAAGGAUUAGCCCGCGUUGGAUUAGGUAGUUGGUGGGGUAAUGGCCUACCAAGCCGACGAUCCAUAGCUGGUUUGAGAGGAUGAUCAGCCACACUGGGACUGAGACACGGCCCAGACUCCUACGGGAGGCAGCAGUGGGGAAUCUUAGACAAGGGGGGCAACCCUGAUCUAGCCAUGCCGCGUGAGUGAUGAAGGCCUUAGGGUUGUAAAGCUCUUUCAGCUGGGAAGAUAAUGACGGUACCAGCAGAAGAAGCCCCGGCUAACUCCGUG